CCUACGGGUGGCAGCAGUGAGGAAUAUUGGUCAAUGGCCGGAAGGCUGAACCAGCCAUGCCGCGUGAAGGUCAGUGCCCUAUGGGCGUUAAACUUCUUUUGUGCGGGAGCAAUAAUGGUCACGUGUGGCCAGACGAGAGUACCGUACGAAUAAGCAUCGGCUAACUCCGUGCCAGCAGCCGCGGUAAUACGGGGGAUGCAAGCGUUAUCCGGAUUUAUUGGGUUUAAAGGGUUCGGAGGCGGGGAGGUAAGUCAGCGGUGAAAUGCCCCCGCGCAACGGGGUGAAGUGCCAUUGAUACUGCCUGGCUGGAAUGCGGAUGCCGUGGGAGGAAUGUGUGGUGUAGCGGUGAAAUGCAUAGAUAUCACACAGAACACCGAUUGCGAAGGCAUCUCACGAAUCCGCGAUUGACGCUGAUGCACGAAAGCGUGGGUAUCAAACAGGAUUAGAUACCCCAGUAGUC
rnacentral:rRNA from 1 species